GAAUUCAACUCCUACGGGAGGCAGCAGUGGGGAAUAUUGCACAAUGGGGGAAACCCUGAUGCAGCGACGCCGCGUGAACGAAGAAGGUAUUCGUAUCGUAAAGUUCUGUCCUAUGGGAAGAUAAUGACAGUACCAUAGAAGAAAGCUCCGGCUAAAUACGUGCCAGCAGCCGCGGUAAUACGUAUGGAGCGAGCGUUGUCCGGAAUUAUUGGGCGUAAAGGGUACGCAGGCGGUUUAAUAAGUCGAAUGUUAAAGAUCGGGGCUCAACCCCGUAAAGCAUUGGAAACUGAUAAACUUGAGUAGUGGAGAGGAAAGUGGAAUUCCUAGUGUAGUGGUGAAAUACGUAGAUAUUAGGAGGAAUACCAGUAGCGAAGGCGACUUUCUGGACACAAACUGACGCUGAGGUACGAAAGCGUGGGGAGCAAACAGGAUUAGAUACCCUAGUAGUCCAGGCGUU
rnacentral:rRNA from 1 species